AGGACGAACGCUGGCGGCGUGCUUAACACAUGCAAGUGGAGCGACGAACCCGGGCUUGCCCGGGGGCAGAGCCGCGAACGGGUGAGUAACACGUGGGUAACGUGCCCCAAUGACCGGGACAACCCGAGGAAACUCGGGCUAAUACCGGAUAAGACCUUCGCACAUCAGUGCAAAGGGGAAAGGUAGCUUCGGCUUCCGCGUUGGGAUCGGCCCGCGGCCCAUUAGCUUGUUGGUGAGGUAACGGCUCACCAAGGCUUCGAUGGGUAGCUGGUCUGAGAGGACGAUCAGCCACACUGGGACUGAGACACGGCCCAGACUCCUACGGGAGGCAGCAGUGGGGAAUUUUCCGCAAUGGGCGAAAGCCUGACGGAGCAAGACCGCGUGGGGGAAGAAGGCUCUUGGGUUGUAAACCCCUUUUCUCUGGGAAGAACGCAAUGACGGUACCAGAGGAAUCAGCAUCGGCUAACUCCGCGCAGCAGCCGC
rnacentral:rRNA from 1 species